AUACUGAUCUGGAAGCAAUCAUAAAGGGGGUUUUUCUAGGGUGUAACUCAUUGAUUGCAUUUCCAAUGUAUUGACCCUGAAGUUUCCCCAAAUGUCGGAAACUCAUUGCAUAAUUUGUGGUGGUGGUAGACUGCAUUCUCCUCUACUC
ensembl:snRNA U1 U1 spliceosomal RNA